UUAUCUGAAGACACAAAAGAGUGAAAAUCCGAAAGCUCUUUUUUGUAGUUGUAAUUAUAAUGCCAAAAAAUCAAGUCGGCACAGUCGUCUUUAUGUUGAUCGUUACAGGCCUCUUGAAUCUUCUAUUUACCUACUUAUUUCUUUUUCUUUGCUUUGAUUUGUUCUUUGUAUGAAAUGUGGCUUUAUUCUUGUUUUCUUUCUUUUUGAUAGGAAUUCUCUUAUUAAGACCCUAUGAAUCAAUUGAAACUUCAGAUUCAUACCAGAACCGCGAUGAUUCAAUAAAACCUUCAAACUAAGUCCAAAGAUUCUUUGAGUAAGAACCAUUGGAUCAUCACUUAUUCAAGCAACUACAGAAGGGUGACGAAGCUUCUUUGCAUGACGGGUAUAUAGAACGACUAUUCAACUACUAUUUUUUUCCCCG
rnacentral:lncRNA from 1 species